rnacentral:rRNA from 1 species
UUCCGGUUGAUCCCGCCGGACCUGACUGCUAUCGGAUUGAUACUAAGCCAUGCGAGUCAUUGUAGCAAUACAAGGCAGACGGCUCAGUAACGCGUAGUCAACCUAACCUAUGGACGAGAAUAACCUCGGGAAACUGAGAAUAAUGCUCGAUAGAACACUAUACCUGGAAUGGUUUGUGUUCCAAAUGAUUUAUCGCCGUAGGAUGGGACUGCGGCCUAUCAGUUUGUUGGUGAGGUAAUGGCCCACCAAGACUAUUACAGGUACGGGCUCUGAGAGGAGUAGCCCGGAGAUGGGUACUGAGACACGGACCCAGGCCCUAUGGGGCGCAGCAGGCGAGAAAACUUUGCAAUGUGCGAAAGCACGACAAGGUUAAUCCGAGUGAUUUGUGCUAAACGAAUCUUUUGUUAGUCCUAGAAACACUAACGAAUAAGGGGUGGGCAAGUUCUGGUGUCAGCCGCCGCGGUAAAACCAGCACCUCAAGUGGUCAGGAUGAUUAUUGGGCCUAAAGCAUCCGUAGCCGGCUCUGUAAGUUUUCGGUUAAAUCUGUACGCUUAACGUACAGGCUGCCGGGAAUACUGCAGAGCUAGGGAGUGGGAGAGGUAGACGGUACUCGGUAGGAAGGGGUAAAAUCCUUUGAU